rnacentral:rRNA from 1 species
AACGAACGCUGGCGGCAUGCCUAACACAUGCAAGUCGAACGAGAUCUUCGGGUCUAGUGGCGCACGGGUGCGUAACGCGUGGGAAUCUGCCCUUUGGUUCGGAAUAACAGGUGGAAACGACUGCUAAUACCGGAUGAUGACGAAAGUCCAAAGAUUUAUCGCCAGGGGAUGAGCCCGCGUAGGAUUAGCUAGUUGGUGUGGUAAAGGCGCACCAAGGCGACGAUCCUUAGCUGGUCUGAGAGGAUGAUCAGCCACACUGGGACUGAGACACGGCCCAGACUCCUACGGGAGGCAGCAGUGGGGAAUAUUGGACAAUGGGCGAAAGCCUGAUCCAGCAAUGCCGCGUGAGUGAUGAAGGCCUUAGGGUUGUAAAGCUCUUUUACCCGGGAUGAUAAUGACAGUACCGGGAGAAUAAGCUCCGGCUAACUCCGUGCCAGCCGCCGCUGUAA